rnacentral:rRNA from 1 species
AUUGAACGCUGGCGGCAUGCCUUACACAUGCAAGUCGAACGGCAGCACGGGUGCUUGCACCUGGUGGCGAGUGGCGAACGGGUGAGUAAUACAUCGGAACAUGUCCUGUAGUGGGGGAUAGCCCGGCGAAAGCCGGAUUAAUACCGCAUACGAUCCACGGAUGAAAGCGGGGAACCUUCGGGCCUCGCGCUAUAGGGUUGGCCGAUGGCUGAUUAGCUAGUUGGUGGGGUAAAGGCCUACCAAGGCGACGAUCAGUAGCUGGUCUGAGAGGACGACCAGCCACACUGGGACUGAGACACGGCCCAGACUCCUACGGGAGGCAGCAGUGGGGAAUUUUGGACAAUGGGCGAAAGCCUGAUCCAGCAAUGCCGCGUGUGUGAAGAAGGCCUUCGGGUUGUAAAGCACUUUUGUCCGGAAAGAAAUCCUUGACUCUAAUACAGUCGGGGGAUGACGGUACCGGAAGAAUAAGCACCGGCUAACUACGUG